rnacentral:rRNA from 1 species
CGCGCAGGCGGUCUUGUAAGUCAGAUGUGAAAGCCCACGGCUUAACCGUGGAAGUGCAUUUGAAACUGUGAGACUUGAGUACCAGAGGGAAGGUGGAAUUCCCGGUGUAGAGGUGAAAUUCGUAGAUAUCGGGAGGAAUACCGGUGGCGAAGGCGACUUUCUGGCUGGAUACUGACGCUGAGGCGCGAAAGCGUGGGGAGCAAACA